rnacentral:misc_RNA from 1 species
AACGCACGAGACCUGCGGACCUGCGGAAGGAUCAUUUGUGAAAGGGGAGAGGAAAAACAUGUGCAUACCCACUGUGGGUGUCUCCCCUACUAUCCACACCCCACCAUUGUGUACUGUUUGACCCUGCCAGAGAGGCAUUGUUUGCUCUGGGGCAGGGGAUUGGAAAUUUUUCCACCGAGAAAGUGCUGGUUUCUUUCAAAAAGAAAAAAACAACUUUCAGCAAUGGAUCUCUAGAUCGGA